ACAACUACGAAAAAUUAUAUUUAAUGUUGUACGACUUCGAUUUGCAGAAGCACUGAAUAUUGUAUUUCCGAGCCAAUCAAAUCUUGGUUACGACAUGCGAAUGAGCGUUAUCUAAAGAAAAAUAAGAUGGAUGACACAAAUGUAUAAAUGCAUCACGUAGCAAUUUGUUACAAAUGUGGAAAAAUAUUAUAUACAGAGUGACACACGCAUAUAUUAUUAUGAAGAAAAUUAUUCAUUUAUUUUUCUCUUAGGGA